rnacentral:misc_RNA from 1 species
CAGUGUAGCACAUCUGAAUAUUAAUCAACCUAUGCCAUGAAUAAAACUGGAUUUAAAUUGUGGAGCAAAUUUUUGCAACAUAGAGAAGAAGGAGGAAAAAAAACUGUUGGUUAUAUUAAUCAUUUGAACAAGAAACUUUAUUUUUCUAUUGCAAAUGUUGGUUUAUGGGACCCAAUUGAUUCAACAAAAUGUGCACAUCAUGGUGGUGUUUUUAAUUUAGAAUUUUCACCUGAAGGGUCAUUAUUAGUAGCAGCUACAGAAAGAAAAAGUAUAUUAAUAUUUGACCCUCUUAAUCACAAAUUAGUGAAUUAUGUGAAUGAAGCACAUAAUGAUUGUGUUAAUUAUGCCAGGUUUUUAGAUUCAAGGAUGUUUGCUACGUGUUCAGAUGAUACCACUGUUGCUCUUUGGGAUAUUCGUUACUUGAAACAUAAGAUACGCACAUUAAAAGGACAUUCUAACUGGGUUAAAAAUAUAGAAUUUGCUAGUAAUGUUGGUCUUUUAGUAACAUCAGGAUUUGAUGGCAGUAUUUAUACAUGGGAUAUUAAUAGAUAUUCUGAAGAAGAUACACAGUUUCAACGGGUGUUUCACACAAAUGGAUUGAUGAGAAUGAGACUUACUCCAGAUAAUUCUAAAAUGGUUAUAUGUACUACUGGAGGUUAUUUAAUGGUCAUCCAUAAUUUGGAUCUAAAUAAUUUAGCUGAGGAUCUCAUGGGAUUUAAGCCAAACAUGUACAGAUUAAUGCAGAUGGGAAAUACACCUUUUCCAAUUGGUUAUUCAUAUAAUCAUUUAUUUACUGCUCAGCGUAAUCGAAUUGAACUUAUAUCAGAUUUUCCUGAAGGAAAUGAUGCUGAAAUUAUCUCUUCAUUACAAGUUCAUCCAUAUGGAUGGUGUGUAUUAUCUCGUAACACAAGCAGUGAUGAAAAUACUGAGUGGACUUGUAUUCAUGACAUUCAAGAAGUAGAGAAACCUUACAGUCAAGUGAGUGAUGAUUCCCAGCUAACAACUUUGAUUGGUGUUUCUCGGAAUGAAAAUGAAACAGUUAAUGAAUCAAGUGUAAAUAAUUCUGAAAAUUUUAAUUCUGUUGAAAGUAACAGCCUGGAAAUUUCUCGGGAAAUUUCUGGAUCUCAGUCACUUCGAGAAAGACCAGUUGUGCACAUUAGACUCAAUUAUGGUUCUCAGUCUCUCAGACACCAAGAAAUAAAUCGUUCUGAUACUCAGGGCAAUAGAAAUACAACAACAGAGAGUUACCGUUUUGGUAAUAUCGAACUGCGUAUUUCACAACGAAGAAUUACACAGUCAGUGCCAGCAGGAACUCAAAAUUCUGUGAAUUCUCAGGAAGGAACAUCUGGAGCAUCUCAAGCUUCUCCCACUAUUCAUACUAGAUCACAAAAUUCUGAUGAUAGUAAUAGCAGUGAAGAAGCAGAUAAUAGUUCUACUCAUAUUGUUCCUUCAGAACGUCCAGCAUUUUUUAUUAGGACAGGAUCAGAGCGUGGUGCUCAUACAUUUUUGUUGUUAGGUCCAAAUAGAUCUCAGGAUCAAUCAAAUCACACAUCUCAUAAGAUUUACAGAAAUACUCCUCGACUAACUCAUUAUAUUUCAGAACCUAACGUCGGUAGAGGUUUUAUCAAAGAACUCUGUUUUAGUACAGACGGUAGAUUGAUUUGUUCACCAUAUGGCUACGGAGUUAGAUUAUUAACAUUUCAUCCCUCUUGUAGUGAAUUGUGUGACAGUGUUCCUAAAUCCGUUUCUCCUCUUCAUGAAUUAAGGUCUGACUCUAGUCAUUCAAAUUAUGUUGUCAGCACCAAGUUUUCUCCCACUCAUUGCCUGUUUGUAUCUGGUUGUUUAAGUGGUAAAAUAUGUUUCCAUCAACCUGUUAUAUAGCAAAUUAAUUAGAAUUAUAAAAUUACAAUGCAUUUAUCAGAUACAUUGUUUUUAUAUUAUUAAUGUAUAUUAGAAUCUUCCAUUUUCAGAAUCUCAUUUCAGUUUUUGAGAUUAAUUUGUUUGUGACGAAGCCAAUAAGUACUUUUGAGUGUAAUAUAAACUCUUAAGCAUAUGUUUUUCUGUUGUUUCCAAAAAUUUUGGAAAAAAAAAAUUCCAUAAAUUUUGAUUGAUUGGUGAAAUGAAAAUAUUGGUAUGACACAAGAAUUACAAUUUUAAUAACUUGAAACAUCGUUUAUAAUUUUAAUAAUCUUAAAAAUAUCUUGUUUUUAGAAUUGCAGAAAGAAUCUGUAUCUAAUUCACCUUAUUGCACAUUUUAUGAAAAAUCAAUUGCCUUCCUUACAUCUGUAUUUUGUGAAAUUCUUGUAAAUAAAACUUUAGGAUAAAAUCUUAUCUAUGAUAAUCUAGUCUAAAUUAUUAAGUGGCUAUAAUUAUCAUAAGCCAUAUUUAAUAUUUUUUGAAUUUAUAUUUUAAUUGCUUUACUUAAAAAAGAAAAAAAUUCUUAUGAAGAAUAAAAUAUUAAGAUUGCUUCAUAAUUUUAUUGUAUGUAAGAGAAGAAGCAUCAAAUAAGUAAAACUACUUUAAAAACCAAUGAGGUUUGAAGUUUGUUUAUUGUAUUUUGUUCUACACACAAUGAGGUUAUAUAAUAAUAAGAAAUUUUGUGCAAAUUGAAAUUUUAAGGAUUUUUAAGGCAAGUUUUCUUAUUUGGUGUAAAAGGAAUUAAUGUAAUUUAAGAAUGUUCAUAAAAUCUUAUUAAAACUUUUAUUCUAUGAAUAUAUUUUGCAUAAUUUUUUAAAAUUAUACACAAAUGUUUACAUUAUGCCAUUUCUAUCAUUUCUUAAGGGAUGAUACAGGGUGGCCUUUAUCCAGGAGGCCCAAGUUUGAUUCCUGGCUAGAAACUUUUAUGCUGGUCAGAUGGCAAGGUGGUUAAGGUGUCAGUCUACCACCGUGGGGAUUGGAAUUGAAUUCAGAUAAACACCAGGAAUUUUUUGCAAUGAUCUAUCCAGGAUAUGCUGUUGACCCUCAUACCCAGCUAUCUCAUUGUGGACCUGAUUAAAUAUAUGAUGAGCCUGAAAGAAGCUCUCUUUAUGCACAUAAGGCAGAAAGAGUAAAAAAACCAUCUGGCCUAAAUAAGAUCUUUAACAAGUAUAAUACAUGUACUUUUUACAACUGAACAGUGACAUACAAGGUGUGAUCAAAAAAUUUCUUGAAUUAUUUUGUUUUUACAAAAUGAAAAGUGUUAGCAAGUAAAUUUUGAACCCUAGCAAUAAUCUAUCCAUUAGGAUAUUUGUGUACCAGAUACAGUCUCGGUGACUUGCAUGCAGUGACAGAGAAGAAGGGAGACUAUUUAUGAUGCCAGUGUUGCACUUCAAAAUGUCAGACCUACAGGAUCAGCAUGUGGCAAUCAAAUUUUGUUAAAUUAGAGAAAAUGGUCACAGAGGUCCACAAAUUUUUGAAAGAGGCCACAAAAAUAGCAAUCCAAAUCAAGAAGCUGAAAACUGUUGAAGUGUAAAAAUUUCAAAGACGUGGAAGUCAUAUAAGAAAAUGUGAGGACUUUAAAGACCAUUUCAAAAUUUGAGUUCUAGAACAGUUUCUAGCAGUUCCAGAAACACUGCAAAAAGUAUUAUAUCUCAAGGAGACUACUUUGAAGGACACCCAUACUAAAAUGAAGGUAAGUGCUUUCGUUUAUUUAAAAAACAUAAUUCUUGGAACUUAUUGAUUACAUCUUGUACAUCAAUUAGCAUUUGAAGCUAUCUUUAUUUCAUUGGUUUAUCUUCACUUCAAUUUUAUUUAAAGUUUAUCAUCAGACUU